rnacentral:rRNA from 1 species
GCGGUUUUGUAAGACAGUGGUGAAAUCCCCGGGCUCACCUGGGAACUGCCAUUGUGACUGCAAGGCUGGAGUGCGGCAGAGGGGGAUGGAAUUCCGCGUGUAGCAGUGAAAUGCGUAGAUAUGCGGAGGAACACCGAUGGCGAAGGCAAUCCCCUGGGCCUGCACUGACGCUCAUGCACGAAAGCGUGGGGAGCAAACAGGAUAGAUACCCUGGUAGUCCACGCCCUAAACGAUGUCAACUGGUUGUUGGGAAUUUAUUUUCUCAGUAACGAAGCUAACGCGUGAAGUUGACCGCCUGGGGAGUACGGCCGCAAGGUUAAAACUCAAAGGAAUUGACGGGGACCCGCACAAGCGGUGGAUGAUGUUCUUUAAUUCGAUGCAACGCGAAAAACCUUACCCACCUUUGACAUGUAUGGAAUCCUUUAGAGAUGAAGGAGUGCUCGAAAGAGAGCCAUAACACAGGUGCUGCAUGGCUGUCGUCAGCUCGUGUCGUGAGAUGUUGGGUUAAGUCCCGCAACGAGCGCAACCCUUGCCAUUAGUUGCUACGAAAGGGCACUCUAAUGGGACUGCCGGUGACAAACCGGAGGAAGGUGGGGAUGACGUCAAGUCCUCAUGGCCCUUAUAGGUGGGGCUAGAAACGUCAUACAAUGGCCGGUACAAAGGGUAGCCAAGCCGCGAGGUGGAGCCAAUCCCAUAAAGCCGGUCGUAGUCCGGAUCGCAGUCUGCAACUCGACUGCGUGAAGUCGGAAUCGCUAGUAAUCGUGGAGCAGCAUGCCACGGUGAAUACGUUCCCGGGUCUUGUACACACCGCCCGU